rnacentral:rRNA from 1 species
CCAGACUCCUACGGGAGGCAGCAGUGGGGAAUAUUGCACAAUGGGGGGAACCCUGAUGCAGCGACGCCGCGUGGGUGAAGGAGCACCUCGGUGCGUAAAGCCCUAUCGGCAGGGAAGAAACAGACGGUACCUGACUAAGAAGCCCCGGCUAACUACGUGCCAGCAGCCGCGGUAAUACGUAGGGGGCAAGCGUUAUCCGGAUUUACUGGGUGUAAAGGGGGCGCAGACGGCAGCGCAAGCCAGGAGUGGAAGCCCGGGGCCCAACCCCGGGACUGCUCUUGGAACUGCGCGGCUGGAGUGCAGGAGGGGCAGGCGGAAUUCCUGGUGUAGCGGUGAAAUGCGUAGAUAUCAGGAGGAACACCGGUGGCGAAGGCGGCCUACUGGACGGUGACUGACGCUGAGGCUCGAAAGCGUGGGGAGCAAACAGGAUUAGAUACCCGAGUA